CCUACGGGCGGCAGCAGUGGGGAAUAUUGGACAAUGGGGGGAACCCUGAUCCAGCCAUGCCGCGUGUGUGAAGAAGGCCCUCGGGUUGUAAAGCACUUUCAGUGAGGAAGAACGCCUGGUGGUUAAUACCCAUCAGGAAAGACAUCACUCACAGAAGAAGCACCGGCUAACUCCGUGCCAGCAGCCGCGGUAAUACGGAGGGUGCGAGCGUUAAUCGGAAUUACUGGGCGUAAAGCGCGCGUAGGUGGCUUGAUAAGCCGGUUGUGAAAGCCCCGGGCUCAACCUGGGAACGGCAUCCGGAACUGUCAAGCUAGAGUGCAGGAGAGGAAGGUAGAAUUCCCGGUGUAGCGGUGAAAUGCGUAGAGAUCGGGAGGAAUACCAGUGGCGAAGGCGGCCUUCUGGACUGACACUGACACUGAGGUGCGAAAGCGUGGGUAGCAAACAGGAUUAGAUACCCGUGGUAGUC
rnacentral:rRNA from 1 species